UACGUAGGGGGCAAGCGUUGUCCGGAUUUAUUGGGCGUAAAGAGCGUGUAGGCGGUCAGGUAGGUCCGUUGUGAAAACUGGAGGCUCAACCUUCAGAGGUCGACCGAAACCAUCUGGCUAGAGUCCGGGAGAGGAGAGUGGAAUUCCUGGUGUAGCGGUGAGAUGCGCAGAUAUCAGGAGGAACACCGGUGGCGAAGGCGGUCUCUGGGCUAUACUGACGCUGAGGAGCGAAAGCGUGGGGAGCGAACAGG
rnacentral:rRNA from 1 species